rnacentral:rRNA from 1 species
ACGAACGCUGGCGGCGUGCUUAACACAUGCAAGUCGAACGGAAAGGCCCUGCUUGCAGGGUACUCGAGUGGCGAACGGGUGAGUAACACGUGGGUGAUCUGCCCUGCACUUCGGGAUAAGCUUGGGAAACUGGGUCUAAUACCGGAUAGGAGCCAUCUUUAGUGUGGUGGUUGGAAAGUUUUUUCGGUGUAGGAUGAGCUCGCGGCCUAUAAGCUUGUUGGUGGGGUAAUGGCCUACCAAGGCGGCGACGGGUAGCCGGCCUGAGAGGGUGUACGGCCACAUUGGGACUGAGAUACGGCCCAGACUCCGACGGGAGGCAGCAGUGGGGAAUAUUGCACAAUGGGCGCAAGCCUGAUGCAGCGACGCCGCGUGGGGGAUGAAGGCCUUCGGGUUGUAAACUCCUUUCGCUAGGGACGAAGCUUUUUUGUGACGGUACCUAGAUAAGAAGCACCGGCUAACUACGUG